rnacentral:lncRNA from 1 species
UUGCCUCAGUCCACUUAGUCAAGUAUUCGGUUGCUACUAUUAUGUAUUUCAUACUACUAUUAGAAUUGGGAUGGUCCUCUGUAAUAUAAUCAAUUUCCCAUUUUUCAAAAAGAACUAAAGGUAGGCACAUAUAAAGAAGAAAACUCUUCUUUACGUCAUUCCUAACAUACCAUUGAUAUGUAUUGCAUGUCUUAGUAUAUUUAUAUGCAUCUUGAAAUAAUAUGGACCAAUAAUAAUCUAGUUUAAGUAUUUUUUGGCGUCUUAAGGUUCUUAAAAAGUGACCUCCAAAUACACUAUUGUGACAUGUUGUUAGAAUAGUAGGAAUUCCUUCUUUUAUUAUAUACCUCGUUAACAUCCCG